GGAAAAUUGGAGCCAUUCGUGAGAGACCACUCUUAAAAAGCUAGAAUCCUAAUAAUGAUCCUUGAAUCAGGACAUUUGACAGUUGCAGGUGGGCAGUUUGACUGGGGCGGUCGCCUCCUAAAAAGUAACGGAGGCGUGCAAAGGUUCCCUCAGGCUGGACGGAAAUCAGCUUAAGAGUGUAAAGGCAAAAGGGAGCUUGACUGCAAGACCUACAAGUCGAGCAGGGGCGAAAGCCGGCCUUAGUGAUCCGACGGUACCGCGUGGAAGGGCCGUCGCUCAACGGAUAAAAGUUACUCUAGG
rnacentral:rRNA from 1 species